rnacentral:rRNA from 1 species
GGCGGCAGGCCUAAUACAUGCAAGUCGAGCGCACCUUCGGGUGAGCGGCGGACGGGUGAGUAACGCGUGGGAAUGUGCCCUUUGGUACGGAACAACUGAGGGAAACUUCAGCUAAUACCGUAUGUGCCCUUCGGGGGAAAGAUUUAUCGCCAUUGGAGCAGCCCGCGUUGGAUUAGGUAGUUGGUGAGGUAAAGGCUCACCAAGCCUACGAUCCAUAGCUGGUCUGAGAGGAUGAUCAGCCACACUGGGACUGAGACACGGCCCAGACUCCUACGGGAGGCAGCAGUAGGGAAUCUUGCGCAAUGGGCGGAAGCCUGACGCAGCCAUGCCGCGUGAAUGAUGAAGGUCUUAGGAUUGUAAAAUUCUUUCACCGGGGAAGAUAAUGACGGUACCCGGAGAAGAAGCCCCGGCUAACUUCGUGCCAGCAGCCGCGGUAAUACGAAGGGGGCUAGCGUUGCUCGGAAUUACUGGGCGUAAAGGGCGCGUA